CACGGUUGGACAUCGUGAGGUUAGUGCAAUGGCAUAAGCCCGCUUAACUGCGAGAAUGACGGUUCGAGCAGGUGCGAAAGCAGGUCAUAGUGAUCCGGUGGUUCUGUAUGGAAGGGCCAUCGCUCAACGGAUAAAAGGUACUCCGGGGAUAACAGGCUGAUACCGCCCAAGAGUUCAUAUCGACGGCGGUGUUUGGCACCUCGAUGUCGGCUCAUCACAUCCUGGGGCUGAAGUCGGUCCCAAGGGUAUGGCUGUUCGCCAUUUAAAGUGGUACGCGAGCUGGGUUUAGAACGUCGUGAGACAGUUCGGUCCCUAUCUGCCGUGGGCGUUGGAAGAUUGAAGGGGGCUGCUCCUAGUACGAGAGGACCGGAGUGGACGAACCUCUGGUGUUCGGGUUGUGUCGCCAGACGCAUUGCCCGGUAGCUAAGUUCGGAAUUGAUAAGCGCUGAAAGCAUCUAAGCGCGAAGCGAGCCCUGAGAUGAGUCUUCCCUGAUACUUUAAGUAUCCUAAAGGGUUGUUCGAGACUAGAACGUUGAUAGGCAGGGUGUGUAAGCGUUGUGAGGCGUUGAGCUAACCUGUACUAAUUGCCCGUGAGGCUUAACCAU
rnacentral:rRNA from 2 species